rnacentral:RNase_P_RNA from 1 species
GCCGGAUAACGUCCGGUGGAGGCAACUCCAAGGAAAGUGCAACAGAAAUGUACCGCCAGGUAACUGGUAAGGGUGGAAAGGCAGUGUAAGAGACUACCGCAUCUCUGGUAACAGAGAUGGCUCUGUAAACCCCAUUCGAAGCAAGACCAGAUUUAAGCAUUGACGUGGCCCGCCAGCUUAAGGUAGGUUGCUUGAGGCGGUUGGCAACAGCCGUCCUAGAUAGAUGACCAUUUUCAACAUAACCCGGCUUACAGCCCUGCUUGGUUU